rnacentral:tRNA from 1 species
AAUAAAAUGGCUGAGGGCAUAAGCGAUAAAUUGUAAAUUUAUUAACAAGAAUUAUUUCUUUUUUAUUA